AGUGGGGGAAUAUUGCACAAUGGGCGCAAGCCUGAUGCAGCCAUGCCGCGUGUGUGAAGAAGGCCUUCGGGUUGUAAAGCACUUUCAGUCGUGAGGAAGGUAGUGUAGUUAAUAGCUGCAUUAUUUGACGUUAGCGACAGAAGAAGCACCGGGCUAACUCCGUGCCAGCAGCCGCGGUAAUACGGAGGGUGCGAGCGUUAAUCGGAAUUACUGGGCGUAAAGCGCAUGCAGGUGGUUUGUUAAGUCAGAUGUGAAAGCCCGGGGCUCAACCUCGGAAUAGCAUUUGAAACUGGCAGACUAGAGUACUGUAGAGGGGGUAGAAUUUCAGGUGUAGCGGUGAAAUGCGUAGAGAUCUGAAGGAAUACCGGUGGCGAAGGCGGCCCCCCUGGACAGAUACUGACACUCAGAUGCGAAAGCGUGGGGAGCAAACAGGAUUAGAUACCCUGGUAG
rnacentral:rRNA from 1 species